AUUGAACGCUGGCGGCAUGCUUUACACAUGCAAGUCGAACGGUAGCAGGUCUUCGGAUGCUGACGAGUGGCGAACGGGUGAGUAAUGCAUCGGAACGUGCCCAGUCGUGGGGGAUAACGCAGCGAAAGCUGCGCUAAUACCGCAUACGAUCUAUGGAUGAAAGCGGGGGACCGUAAGGCCUCGCGCGAUUGGAGCGGCCGAUGUCAGAUUAGGUAGUUGGUGGGGUAAAGGCCCACCAAGCCAACGAUCUGUAGCUGGUCUGAGAGGACGACCAGCCACACUGGGACUGAGACACGGCCCAGACUCCUACGGGAGGCAGCAGUGGGGAAUUUUGGACAAUGGGCGCAAGCCUGAUCCAGCAAUGCCGCGUGCAGGAAGAAGGCCUUCGGGUUGUAAACUGCUUUUGUACGGAACGAAACGGCUCUCUCUAAUACAGAGGGCUAAUGACGGUACCGUAAGAAUAAGCACCGGCUAACUACGUGCCAGCCGCCGCGGUAAGAC
rnacentral:rRNA from 1 species